AGCCGCGGUAAUACGUAGGGUGCGAGCGUUGUCCGGAAUUAUUGGGCGUAAAGAGCUUGUAGGCGGUUUGUCGCGUCUGCCGUGAAAAUCCGGGGCUCAACUCCGGACUUGCGGUGGGUACGGGCAGACUAGAGUGUGGUAGGGGAGACUGGAAUUCCUGGUGUAGCGGUGAAAUGCGCAGAUAUCAGGAGGAACACCGAUGGCGAAGGCAGGUCUCUGGGCCACUACUGACGCUGAGAAGCGAAAGCGUGGGGAGCGAACAGGAUUAGAUACCCUGGUAGUCCACGCCGUAAACGUUGGGAACUAGGUGUGGGUCUCAUUCCACGAGAUCCGUGCCGCAGCUAACGCAUUAAGUUCCCCGCCUGGGGAGUACGGCCGCAAGGCUAAAACUCAAAGGAAUUGACGGGGGCCCGCACAAGCGGCGGAGCAUGUGGAUUAAUUCGAUGCAACGCGAAGAACCUUACCAAGGCUUGACAUACACCGGAAACAUUCAGAGAUGGGUGCCCCGUAAGGUCGGUGUACAGGUGGUGCAUGGCC
rnacentral:rRNA from 1 species